GAUGAAGAACGUAGCGAAAUGCGAUACUUGGUGUGAAUUGCAGAAUCCCGUGAACCAUCGAGUCUUUGAACGCAAGUUGCGCCCGAAGCCACUAGGCCGAGGGCACGCCUGCCUGGGCGUCACACGUCGUUGCCCCCCCCCCCAUCUACUCCUUCGGGAUUGCGGGGGGCGGAUGAUGGCCUCCCGUGCGCCUAGCCGCGCGGUUGGCAAAAAUACCAAGUCCUCGGCGACGCACGCCACGACAAUCGGUGGUUGCGAAACCUCGGUUGCCCGUCGUGUGCGUUCGUCGCGCAUCGAGGGCUCGAAAAAAUGCUCGGCUCCGGCUCGGCUUUCAACGCGACCCCAGGUCAGGUGGGGUUACCCGCUGAAUUUAAGCAUAUCAAUAAGCGGAGGA
rnacentral:misc_RNA from 1 species